UGAAUUAGAAGAUAAAGCUACUCUGUAUUCAAUUUUGCUGUCCUUUCUCGUUGAUUUAAGACCGCUAAAUGUAAUUUAAAAACCGAACGCAAUAAUUUAUCUU